CCAAGAUGCUCCAAGCGAUUACUCGGGCUACCUGGCAAGAGACCUUUCAAGCUUUGUGGAUUUCAGCUUUGCGGCUUAUACAUCGAGACCCAAGCACUCUGGAAGGACCGCUUCCUCAUCUUGAUUCUCGAUUAUGCAUGUUGUUAGCUAUUGUUCCUUUGGCUAUUGCUCCCAUUUUGAAGGAAUAUGCUAACAAUGUCGAGCCGGGAGUGGCCUCUAUUAGAAUAGAAGAAUUAAUGUCUUCUCUACAAGUUCUGGGGCAAUUUUUUGGACUUCUUUCACCCCCUCCAGCAACUGUACAUGCAACAAAUAUUGCAGCUACGAAAGCAGCGAUUGCUGUAUAUAGUUUGAAGGCUGGGAGUGAGAACAUUCACAAUUCUUUGAAAGAUAGUUUCUCUGUUAAAUUGGGAAUAUGUUACAUCUGUUUGUGGAAGCCUGUAUAGCAAGAAAUUUAGUCGAUACAUCCAUUUAUUUAUGUCCGGGCUAUGUUGUUCAUGUUAAAGACUUCUCUCCUGUCCAUCAGUCCCCUUGGUGAGCCUUGAUGGAAGGGUCUCCGCUGAUGGGUCUUAAGGAUGACCUUAUGGUU